rnacentral:rRNA from 1 species
CUGAAGUCAAGCAAGACCACCCGCUGAACUUAAGCAUAUUACUAAGCGGAGGAAAAGAAACUAACUAGGAUUGCCUCAGUAACUGCGAGUGAAGCGGCAACAGCUCGUCUUGAAUCGCCUCACGGCGAUAUGUGAGUCACGGCCUUACGUGGGGGAUGACGCGCAACUCGGCUGGAACGCCGGACCAAGGAGGGUGCUAGUCCCGUACCGCGUCGACCUCUGCGGUAGGCUGUGUUGAGCGAGUCGGGCAGUUUGGGAUUGCUGUCCUAACGGGAGGUAGACUCCUUCCAAAGCUAAAUAUCGACAGGAGACCGAUAGCGCACAAGUACUGUGAAGGAAAGAUGAAAAGCACUUUGAAAAGAGAGUUAAAAGACUUGAAAUCGCUGAGGAGGAAGCAGUGCGUACAGCGCAGGAGCCAGUGCAAGGGGACUCACGAGUCCCUGGAAGCUGUCCCGCUGCAGAGUGCAGUGGGUUCUGCGUGAGGCUCUAGGCUGUGUGUCUGGAAGUCUGCGCUAGCCCGCUGAAGGCGCUCCGGCGACUCUGCCGCUGUGCGCACUGACCCGUCUUUGAAACACGG